CAGUCGCCACGGUAAUACGGAGGGAGCUAGCGUUGUUCGGAAUUACUGGGCGUAAAGGGCUCGUAGGCGGUUUGUUGCGUCGGGAGUGAAAACCCAGGGCUUAACUUUGGGCUUGCUUUCGAUACGGGCAGACUAGAGGCAUUCAGGGGAGAACGGAAUUCCUGGUGUAGCGGUGAAAUGCGCAGAUAUCAGGAGGAACACCGGUGGCGAAGGCGGUUCUCUGGGAAUGUUCUGACGCUGAGGAGCGAAAGUGUGGGGAGCGAACAGGAUUAGAUACCCGUGUAGUCCCUGUCUCUUAUAC
rnacentral:rRNA from 1 species